rnacentral:rRNA from 1 species
UACGUAGGGCGCAAGCGUUGUCCGGAAUUAUUGGGCGUAAAGAGCUCGUAGGUGGUUUGUUACGUCUGCUGUGAAAACCUAGGGCUUAACCCUGGGCUUGCAGUGGAUACGGGCAGACUAGAGGUAGGUAGGGGAGAAUGGAAUUCCUGGUGUAGCGGUGAAAUGCGCAGAUAUCAGGAGGAGCACCGGUGGCGAAGGCGGUUCUCUGGGCCUUACCUGACACUGAGGAGCGAAAGCGUGGGGAGCGAACAGG